CCUUCUUUUUGCUCUCUUUUUUUUCCUGCUUACCCUGUUACAUCCUUAUCCUCGUUACUGCGUCCCUCAUGGCAGCCGACCCGGAGCGGCUUCCGCAGGUGCUCUUUCUCAGCCCGAAGCAAAGUUUGGAGCGAGCCCUCUCCGCUCGCUUCCGCCUCCUCAAGCCGUGGGAGUCAACGAUGCCACUCGACCGCUUCCUCGCCGCCCACGCCGCAGCCGUCCGCGCUGUGAUUUCCAACCCCCUGGCCUCCGUCGACGCACCCUUGAUCCACGCUCUCCCCUCCCUUGGCUUCGUCUUCACCACCAGCGUCGGCGUCGACCACAUCGACCUCGCCGAGUGCGCGCGCCGAGGCAUCGCCGUCGCCAACGCCGGCACCAUCUUCUCGCGUGAUGUUGCCGACUACGCCCUCGGCCUCCUUGUUGAUGUCCUCCUCCGCGUGUCGGCAUCCGACCGGUACAUCCGCCGGGGAUUGUGGCCCGUCGCCGGAGACUUCCCUCCCGGACGUAAAUUAGGAGGCAAACGGGUUGGCAUUGUUGGACUCGGGAGUAUUGGAUCUGAAAUUGCGAAAAGACUCGAAGCUUUUGGUUGCUCAAUCUCAUACUUCUCAAGAAACAAAAAGCCAUUAUUUCCUUACACCUACUUCCCCACGGUUUGUGAUCUUGCAGCCGAAAGUGAUGUGUUGGUCAUUGCUUGUGCUCUCACAGAGGAAACCCACCACAUCAUCGACAAGGACGUUAUGUUGGCAUUAGGGAAAGAUGGCAUAAUUAUAAAUGUAGGAAGAGGGCCUCUCGUCGAUGAGGCAGAGUUAGUGAAACACUUGAUUCAAGGGAAGAUAGGAGGUGCUGGUCUCGAUGUGUUCGAACAUGAGCCUGCUGUUCCGGAGGAACUAUUUCGUAUGGACAAUGUAGUGCUGUCCAGUCACCAGGCCGUGCUUACAAUCGAGUCAAGUAACGACCUUGUUGAACUGGCAAUGGAAAAUUUAGAGGCCUUCUUCUCAUAUAGGCCUUUGCUUACUCCUGUCCAUGGAACAACCUGAUCCCAGGUAAUACUGAAUCCUGUUCUUCCUUCAGUAAAUAUAUAUCAUUAAGAAAAUGGUACAACAGAACAUGUGGCCCAAGAAAGCUAUUCGUAUCUAAUGAAGUAUCUGAUCCAAAUGGUUGUCUAAGGUGUGAAAUCACAUACAUGCACGUGCACCCUCAUGGGUACUAUCCUCAUAAAACACCACUCACUGUGGAACACAUGAUCAUAAAUACCAUCCCAAUUUAGUAGACUGUCAUAUCGGUAUCAUCCAACUGCAGGCAGCGAACACCCUGGCACUGUCAAUAUCCAAAGCUAGAGCCUCUGAACAAUCCAUGCACGACACCACAGAGGUAUGAAUCCAUGUAACCAUUCAGUGUCUGAGCUCUUUGCCAUGUCCGAUGUCUGUACUUCAUCAUUCAUAUUUGAGCUAUUUGCCAUACCCGAUGUCAAAAUGCAUGAACCUAGCCGCAAUGAUGGUCCAUAGUAUAUGACCAUCCAAUGUCAGCACACCGUCAUCUAUGCCAGAGUUCUCCAUGGUCCAUCCCAGUUCAACAUCCAUCCAACUCACAAAAUACCAAUCAUUAACCAACGUAUGAUCAUGAAUACCAUCCUCGGAGCUAAGGCCAGGCAAUGUCAGCUCUGGUAUUACUUCCUUCCUCUUUCCAUUAAGUGGUAAGAUGUAGUUGAAAUGAUUUACGAUGAAUUAGCUCGGACCGAUCAAAUGAGUUUAGCUUGCACUGCAAAAUACAAAGUCAAGUGGUCUGAGCAUCAUAACGGCUUGACAUACGUCAGGAUCCAGAUAUAUUGUUGAACAUGUCAUGGAUCUAAACGUGAACUAGUUUAUCAACCUACUUGUAUGGAGGUCUUUCUUAAGACCCACAAGAAAAAUAAUGACACAUUUGUCGAUACUAGAUUGAAGGAUCAAAUGACAGAUAGAGUGGCUCAGACAACUCAGUCACUAGCAGGGGAGAGUCACAACAUCUAUUCAUCGAUGCACUAAAUGAGAUAUACUAUGAUAUUGUCGGUGGACAGACAAAAAAACACCACCCUCUACGUCCUUUGAUCGUUCAAGGAUUCCUAGGGGUUGGGAUGGUUCCUCUUCCUCUUCUUCUACUGAGAUGUGGUCUCUAAGACGGAAAAAUCAAGAACUAUGCACUCAAAUUGUCUCAAUAGAUCAGAGGAUGAAUCAACGGAUGACUGUUGAGGAGCAGAGACAAGCCGAGGAUGAUCGGAGGCGAGCCGAGGAUGAUCGGAGGCGAGCCAAGGACGAUCGGAGGCGAGCCGAUGAGGAUAAGAAGCGAGCUGAGGAUCAUAAUGCUCUCAUGACUCAUAUACGAGCGUUCAUAGCUAAUUUGCCUCCACCACUUGUUCCAUUGCAUUUUAAUUCAUAAGAGACUAAGGAUUUAUUAGAUCUCGAUAAUUAGCUUUUCUAAUGUUUGUUUAACUAAAACUCAAAAUUUUUUAUCAUACAUAAAUCAUGCAAAAUAUAUUUAUUCUGUUUUUAUAAUAUAAUAUGCUAAUUUUUAAAUAUUGUAUUACUAUAUG